UACGAACCGUCCAAACGUUACUCGGAAUCACUGGGCUUAAAGGGUGCGUAGGCUGCGCGGAGGGUGGGAUGUGAAAUCCCCCGGCUCAACCGGGGAAUAGCGUCCCAAACCGCCGUGCUCGAGGGAGACAGAGGUGAGCGGAACUGAUGGUGGAGCGGUGAAAUGCGUUGAUAUCAUCAGGAACACCAGUGGCGAAGGCGGCUCACUGGGUCUUUCCUAACGCUGAGGCACGAAAGCUAGGGGAGCGAGCGGG
rnacentral:rRNA from 1 species